rnacentral:tRNA from 1 species
GGGCCCAUAGCUCAGCGGUCAGAGCAGGCGGCUCAUAACCGCUUGGUCGCAGGUUCGAACCCUGCUGGGCCCA